UCACACUCUGUCUCUGUCUCUCAAAAAUGAAUAAAUGUUAAAAAAAAAAAAAUUUAAACAAGCUCUAUGCCCAAUGUGCGGCUCAAAUCACGACCUCAAGAUUGGGGGUCACAUGCUCUACCAACUGAGCCAGCCAGGUGCCCCUGAAGGAAUAUUUACAGCAAACUUCGCAGACCUGAAGGAAAAGGGUUUUCCGAUUGAAAGGUCUACCAGCUGCUCAGCAUAAUGGAUAACAAGGGCCCGGCACCAUUGGGGAAUUUCAGAACACCGGAGACAAAGAGAAGAUCCUACGAGCUCCCUCUGGAAGACUGCGAACUUCCUAACAGUCGCUCUGGAAACUACCUGACAGCGGAACCAGUCAGAAGGAAAAAUGUUUCCAGCCUGGAAUUCGACUGGGAGACCAUCAAUCGAGUGGGCAGGCAGAAUAAAGACACUUUCAGGCCGGCAUCUGUGACUUUAAAACAGCAGCAACAAAUCUCCGCACAGAAGUGGAGACCCCGUAACCUCCGGCUCCUGAUUUGCUUUCACGGUUGGUCCACACAUGACCCUCUCUGGUCUCUCUUGAAAACUGUGUAUGGAUGUAACCAACACCCCGUCCCUCCCAGCCGAUGACUCCCACUGAUCUGCGCUUCCCCGCGCUCCCCUUCCCGCUCAGGGUCCCCUCCUCCCCCAACGCUAGGUAUCCACUCUCCCGAAAACUUUUCCAUGUAUAUCCAGUUUUUUUUUUUUUUCGCAUCCAUAUGUACAACUGAAAAUACACUGGUCAUUUUUAGCUGUGUCUAACUUUACCAAAAGGGUAUCAAGCUGUAAUGACUUUUCCUUUCCCACGCAAUGUCAUAUGCCUUAGAUGUAUCCACAUUGAACACGUCUGUUAUUUUUUGUUUUGGUACUACUUUGUACGAACACACAAUUUAUCUAUCCAUUCUGCUAGUGAGCAUCUGAAUUGCGCCUCGGUGUUUGCUGUUAUGAGCAAGGUGACGAUGGUCUUUCUCCACGUCUCCUGGUGCGCGCGCACAAUGGUUUCUCUCGUGUGCACCCCUGGGAGUGGAGAUCAUAGCAUAUGUGAAUGUCAGACCUUACAACGUGCCAUCAAACUGAUUUCCAACAUGUAAGUGACUGUCCACCUCCUACUGGGUGAGCAUACGUGGCUUCUUACUGGGGUCUUGAUGGGAAUUUACUAAUCACCACUGAUAAUAAAGUAACAUUAGUAAUGACUAAUGACAUUA